rnacentral:rRNA from 1 species
CGCGGCCUAUCAGCUUGUUGGUGGGGUAGUGGCCUACCAAGGCGACGACGGGUAGCCGGCCUGAGAGGGUGACCGGCCACACUGGGACUGAGACACGGCCCAGACUCCUACGGGAGGCAGCAGUGGGGAAUAUUGCGCAAUGGGCGGAAGCCUGACGCAGCGACGCCGCGUGGGGGAUGACGGCCUUCGGGUUGUAAACCUCUUUCAGUAGGGACGAAGCGCAAGUGACGGUACCUACAGAAGAAGCACCGGCCAACUACGUGCCAGCAGCCGCGGUAAUACGUAGGGUGCAAGCGUUGUCCGGAAUUAUUGGGCGUAAAGAGCUCGUAGGCGGUCUGUCGCGUCGGCUGUGAAAUCCCGGAGCUCAACUCCGGGUCUGCAGUCGAUACGGGCAAACUGGAGUACUGCAGGGGAGACUGGAAUUCCUGGUGUAGCGGUGAAAUGCGCAGAUAUCAGGAGGAACACCGGUGGCGAAGGCGGGUCUCUGGGCAGUAACUGACGCUGAGGAGCGAAAGCGUGGGGAGCGAACAGGAUUAGAUACCCUGGUAGUCCACGCCGUAAACGUUGGGCGCUAGGUGUGGGGCUCAUUCCACGAGUUCUGUGCCGCAGCUAACGCAUUAAGCGCCCCGCCUGGGGAGUACGG